rnacentral:rRNA from 1 species
UACGUAGGGUGCAAGCGUUGUCCGGAAUUAUUGGGCGUAAAGAGCUCGUAGGCGGUUUGUUGCGUCGGCUGUAAAAUCCCGAGGCUCAACCUCGGGUCUGCAGUCGAUACGAGCAAACUAGAGUGUUGCAGGGGAGACUGGAAUUCCUGGUGUAGCGGUGAAAUGCGCAGAUAUCAGGAGGAACACCGAUGGCGAAGGCAGCCCCCUGGGAUGUGACUGACGCUCAUGUACGAAAGCGUGGGGAGCAAACAGG